GACGAACGCUGGCGGCGUGCUUAACACAUGCAAGUCGAACGAACUCGAGACUUCGGUCUCAAUGAGUGAGUGGCGAACGGGUGCGUAACACGUGAGAAACCUGCCCCGAAGAUCGGGAUAACCCAAGGAAACUCGGGCUAAUACCGAAUACCUUCCGACCACCGCAUGGUGGACGGAAGAAAUGUUCAGGCGCUUUGGGAGGGUCUCGCGGCCUAUCAGCUUGUUGGUGAGGUAAUGGCUCACCAAGGCAUCGACGGGUAGCUGGUCUGAGAGGACGAUCAGCCACACUGGGACUGAGACACGGCCCAGACUCCUACGGGAGGCAGCAGUGGGGAAUCUUGCGCAAUGGGCGAAAGCCUGACGCAGCAACGCCGCGUGAGGGAAGACGGCUCUCGGGUUGUAAACCUCUUUCAGCAGGGACGAAAUUGACGGUACCUGCAGAAGAAGCGCCGGCCAACUACG
rnacentral:rRNA from 1 species